UACGUAGGGACCGAGCGUUGUCCGGAAUCAUUGGGCGUAAAGCGCGCGUAGGCGGCCCGGUAAGUCCGCUGUGAAAGUCAGAGGCUCAACCUUUGAAUGUCAGCGGAUACUGCCGGGCUAGAGUCCGGAAGAGGCGAGUGGAACUCCUGGUGUAGCGGUGGAAUGCGCAGAUAUCAGGAAGAACACCAACGGCGAAGGCAGCUCGCUGGGACGGAACUGACGCUAAGGCGCGAAAGCGUGGGGAGCGAACAGG
rnacentral:rRNA from 1 species